rnacentral:tRNA from 1 species
UGGGGUGUAGCCAAGCGGUAAGGCAGUGGAUUUUGAUUCCACCAUGCGGAGGUUCGAAUCCUCCCUCCCCAG